rnacentral:rRNA from 1 species
AUUGAACGCUGGCGGCAGGCUUAACACAUGCAAGUCGAGCGGAGAUGAGGUGCUUGCACCUUAUCUUAGCGGCGGACGGGUGAGUAAUGCUUAGGAAUCUGCCUAUUAGUGGGGGACAACAUUCCGAAAGGAAUGCUAAUACCGCAUACGUCCUACGGGAGAAAGCAGGGGAUCUUCGGACCUUGCGCUAAUAGAUGAGCCUAAGUCGGAUUAGCUAGUUGGUGGGGUAAAGGCCUACCAAGGCGACGAUCUGUAGCGGGUCUGAGAGGACGAUCCGACAGACUGGGACAGGAGCACGGACCAGACUCCUACGGGAGGCAACAGUGGGGAAUAUUGGGCAAUGGGGGAAACCCUGAGCCAGCCAUGCCGCGUGUGGGAAGAAGGCCUUAUGGUUGUAAAGCACUUUAAGCGAGGAGGAGGCUACUGAGACUAAUACUCUUGGAUAGUGGACGUUACUCGCAGAAUAAGCACCGGCUAACUCUGUGCCAGCAGCCGCCGUAA